rnacentral:rRNA from 1 species
UGAGGAAUAUUGGUCAAGGACGUUAGUAACUGAACGUCCCCUGACGGUAUCUAACCAGAAAGCCACGGCUAACUACGUGCCAGCAGCCGCGGUAAUACGUAGGUGGCAAGCGUUGUCCGGAUUUAUUGGGCGUAAAGCGAGCGCAGGCGGUUUCUUAAGUCUGAUGUGAAAGCCCCCGGCUCAACCGGGGAGGGUCAUUGGAAACUGGGAGACUUGAGUGCAGAAGAGGAGAGUGGAAUUCCAUGUGUAGCGGUGAAAUGCGUAGAUAUAUGGAGGAACACCAGUGGCGAAGGCGGCUCUCUGGUCUGUAACUGACGCUGAGGCUCGAAAGCGUGGGGAGCAAACAGG